rnacentral:snRNA from 13 species
AUCCUUAUGCUAGGGCAUUACGUGUAUCAGUGAGGAUUCGUCCGAGAUCAUGUUUUUGCUAGUUGAAAACUUCAACAUGACUACUUCCCCGUGGCUGCUUAGGCGGUUCACCUGGAGAAUUUUUGGAACCCUUUCUUUGU